GUCAGCUCGUGUCGUGAGAUGUUGGGUUAAGUCCCGCAACGAGCGCAACCCUUGAUCUUAGUUGCCAGCACUUCGGGUGGGCACUCUAAGGUGACUGCCGGUGACAAACCGGAGGAAGGUGGGGAUGACGUCAAAUCAUCAUGCCCCUUAUGACCUGGGCUACACACGUACUACAAUGGCCGGUACAACGGGCUGCGAAGCCGCGAGGCGGAGCCAAUCCUAGAAAGCCGGUCUCAGUUCGGAUUGCAGGCUGCAACUCGCCUGCAUGAAGUCGGAAUUGCUAGUAAUCGCGGAUCAGCAUGCCGCGGU
rnacentral:rRNA from 1 species